rnacentral:rRNA from 1 species
UACGUAGGGACCAAGCGUUGUUCGGAUUUACUGGGCGUAAAGGGCGCGUAGGCGGCGUGGUAAGUCACUUGUGAAAUCUCUGAGCUUAACUCAGAACGGCCAAGUGAUACUGCUGUGCUAGAGUGCAGAAGGGGCAAUCGGAAUUCUUGGUGUAGCGGUGAAAUGCGUAGAUAUCAGGAGGAAUACCGGUGGCGAAAGCGACUCUCUGGACGGCAACUGACGCUGAGGCACGAAAGCGUGGGGGAGCAAACAGG